UAAUACUAGUUGAAAAUGAUUAUCAAUACCGAAUAGAACAUUCCCCCCACAUAUAUUUCGUUCUUAUUGGAUUGGUCAUUUUCAAUUAUCCCCUUUUAUAUGCCCGUAAAAGACUAACGUUGAGAAACAACGUUUCAAUAAAGCAGUAAACCUUUGACACUUGAGGUUUACUGCUUU
rnacentral:ncRNA from 1 species